rnacentral:rRNA from 1 species
UUUUGGGGGCUCCCUCCAGCAUCGAACGGUGAUCUACUUGUAUUGAUGGCGAGUGGCGAACGGGUGAGUAAUACAUCGGAACGUGCCCUGUGGGGGGAUAACUAGUCAAAGAUUAGCUAAUACCGCAUACGACCUGAGGGUGAAAGUGGGGGACCGCAAGGCCUCAUGCUAUAGGAGCGGCCGAUGUCUGAUUAGCUAGUUGGGGGUAAGGCUCACCAGGCGACAUCAGUAGCUGGUCUGAAGGACGAUCACCACACGGGACUGAACACGGCCCAACUCCUACGGGAGGCAGCAGGGGUUUUGGACAGGGCAAAGCUGAUCCAGCAUGCCGCGUGUGUAAAAGGCCUUCGGGUUGUAAAGCAUUUUGUCCGGAAAAAAUGGCUCUGGUUAAUACCUGGGGUCGAUGACGGUACCGGAAAAUAAGGACCGGCUAACUACGUGCCAGCAGCCGCGGUAAUACGUAGGGUCCAAGCGUUAAUCGGAAUUACUGGGCGUAAAGCGUGCGCAAGCGGUUGUGCAAGACCGAUGUGAAAUCCCCGAGCUUAACUUGGGAAUUGCAUUGGUGACUGCACGGCUAGAGUGUGUCAGAGGGGGGUAGAAUUCCACGUGUAGCAGUGAAAUGCGUAGAGAUGUGGAGGAAUACCGAUGGCGAAGGCAGCCCCCUGGGAUAACACUGACGCUCAUGCACGAAAGCGUGGGGAGCAAACAGGAUUAGAUACCCUGGUAGUCCACGCCCUAAACGAUGUCAACUAGUUGUUGGGGAUUCAUUUCCUUAGUAACGUAGCUAACGCGUGAAGUUGACCGCCUGGGGAGUACGGUCGCAAGAUUAAACUCAAAGGAAUUGACGGGGACCCGCACAAGCGGUGGAUGAUGUGGAUUAAUUCGAUGCAACGCGAAAAACUUACUACUUGACAUGCCACUAACGAAGCAGAGAUGAUUAUGUGCUCGAAAGAGAAAGUACGUGCUGCAUGGCUGUCGUCAGCUCGUGUCGUGAGAUGUGGGGUCCCGCAGAGCGCGCCUCUACUACGAAGGUCUAAGACUCGAGAGGUGAGGAUUGGACGUUCAGCCAUGCAUGGG